UACGGGGGGAGCAAGCGUUGUUCGGAUUUACUGGGCGUAAAGGGCGCGUAGGCGGCCACCGCAAGUCGACGGUGAAAUCUCCGGGCUUAACCCGGAAAGGUCAGCCGAUACUGCGGGGCUAGAGUGCAGAAGGGGCAACUGGAAUUCUCGGUGUAGCGGUGAAAUGCGUAGAUAUCGAGAGGAACACCUGCGGCGAAGGCGGGUUGCUGGGCUGACACUGACGCUGAGGCGCGAAAGCUAGGGGAGCGAACGGG
rnacentral:rRNA from 1 species